GCUGUCUAGUAGGGAAGUAAAGGAUUCCGGAGGGUGGAGCUUACAAUGUUGAACAUCCCCAACCUGUAUGCGGCGCGUGCGCUCGCUUGGAGCGGCGAUGGCACCAAACUGGCUAUAGCUUCACAAACCGGUGCUGUUAUACAACUUGAAGCUGUGUUAAGACGUUGGGUGUGGCGCGACAGCGUGUGUGUGCAGCACGUGAGCGCGCGGCAGCUCGUGCUGUCGCGCGUGGCGCACGACGCGCCGCCGCUCACCGUCACCACCAAGCACGCGCCCGAUAUAUUCAACGUGCGAUUUAUUGGAAACGAUUGGUACGCAGUAUGUCGUACUAGUUGCACGUUGAUAUUAUGUGACAUCGCAAGAGGAUUGACUAGUGAG